GCCGGGGUAGCUCAGCGGUAGAGCACACGGCUGAAAACCGUGGUGUCGUGGGUUCGACUCCCACCCCCGGCACCA
rnacentral:tRNA from 1 species